UGAGGGCAGAGCGUCCCCAAUGUGACAACUGCGGUUAGGGCGCCUCUUUCCCCUAAGCACCACAGCUCGGAACCUUGUGCUCUUCCCUUACCCAGUGUGACUGUCCCCAAAUGGCCCCGGCCUACCGGUCCUCCCCCACCACCGCCACCACCUCCUGGCUCAGCCUCCGCGGGUCCGCCGCCCGCAGGAACUAGGGGUUCAAAGACCGGAGGGGACGGAAGCGGGUAACGGAUGGGCGCUUCCGGGGCGGGGGCAGACGUGGUCAUGGCAAGGCAGGAAAUGUCUGCAAGAGAUGAUACUGUACGCAGGGCUCUUUGCUCACUGGACAGGGUCCAAGGAGUUUCCCAAAAAAGAAAUGGAGACCAGGACUCCGCCCUCUGAGUAGGUUCUUGACUCUGGCCACAGAAGAAAGAAUUUCAGGAUGCAGCAAUGAGAGGCAUAGACAAGUUUCCUUAGGCAGAGUUAAAGUGCCCGCUGGAAAGUGGAGAGGCACACUACAGUUUGGAGCUGAAGAUAUUUUUAUGUGUCCUUGGAGGUGUCCUUUAAGCUCAGGACCAACUGGAGAAUGCCCAACAUCCACCAAACACCAUCCUGUCCACACCCUGCCCCUACGGAGCCGACCUGCUUUCCCGGGCAAACAACAGCCUCCCUGAGGGCUCACCUGAGCACUAUGAAGCUGUUCCCUCCUCCGGCACUUUAGAGUUUCCAUUGAGUCUCAGCGGUGGCGGCUGAUCCUCUAGUGAGAGCAAGCUCCAGUGGGGCCUUGCUGGGUCUCACUCGGGUGCUGCUGUGUAUCCCAUACCAGGGAAGCCAGGCUGAUGAGCAGCCUGGGGCAUUCCCCAGUGGGGAGGACCAAGCUGGGCUCUCAUGUCCCCAGUGCCUGCGUCCACAGAGACAACACACCAUAAGGAACCUGAAGCAGCUCAUUACUUACGAGUGGCAGCAAGGGACAACAGAGCAGCCUCCCUGCCCCAGCUCAGGAAGCUGUGUGGCUGGGUGGACUCUGCUGCGUGUACCCAUUAUACCACUCUGGAGGGAGCCUGAAGGUCAGAGAUUCUAGGAGCCUUGGCUUGGGCCAGACCAACAGGACAAGGAUUGGCCUUGGUUGGAGAAGGAAGCAGCCUGAGAGCCCCAGACGGAGGCACCGUGCAGGAGUCCCUGCGCCUAGACAGAGCCAUCUCCCUUUGACCAGGAUCUUGCUGUGUAGUCCAGGCUGGUCUCAAACUCACCGUGAUCCUCCUGCCUCAGCCUCCUGAAUGCUGGGAUUAUAGGUGUGCACCACCAUGUCCGGCUUACAGACUCUGUAUUUUCGAACCAGUUCAAGCUGCCACUGGAUGGAGUCUGAUGAGUGCCUCCUAAACGCAAGAUGGGACCCUGGAGAGGCCUCUGUGCCUGUUGUUGCCGAGCCAAGUGAUCAGCCACAGUAGCCUGAAGAGAAGCUGGGGCAGGAAUUGGGGCUGUGUUGCCUGGAAGGGGACGAGAGACGUCAUUUGUCAGGUUGCUGUCCUGGGAGUGAGCACCGAAGGAAGCAGACCCCGAGUCCUUGGAGAGCUGUGACCGCUGCCUCGAUGUUUCAGCCUCCUCCUGCCGCCCCAGUCUGCUGUGUGCUCCUUGCCUACCGCUCACACAACUCCAGGCACAGACGGCUCCCUCUCCACGGCUGGGCUGCACCACAUCUACUUUCGAGCCGAGGGCCUGGCUUGGUGCUGGACCACGUUGUGAUCUUCCUCUCUGGUCCUGCCUAGAGCAACGUGCCAGGCUGGCUGAACUGGGACUCCACCACUAGCUUGCACAAAGCUUGUGGGAGAGCUGUGAGUGUGGGUCCUGUGCCUCACGGACAGGCCUUCAGGGGAGACUGGUGUCCUAGGGCUGCCACCAGUGGGGUCCAGGGAGACCCCCCCCCAAAUAGGAGACGAGGACCUCAACUUGCUCCUGCUAGGUCCUUGAUGCCUCACAAUAGAAUUGCACGAAGGAGUGCAUUCUGGGAGGGUGAGCAGAAGGGUUGCAAAUUUGAGCCCAGCCUGGGGAACUCAGUGACUUGGCAAGACCCUGUCUCAAAAUAAAGUACAAAAAGGGCUGGGCAUGUACCAAAGGUCAGAGGCCCUGGUCCAAUUGUAGGGAAAGCUGGGGGACAGGCAGGGAAAGAUAAGGACCUUAGUGAGGUUUCUGGAAAAUCCUUGCUGGAAAGGAUUAAAUCCCUGCUAGGAAGAACAAUUAAGAGAAGCAGCGAGAACCGAUAUGUAGCCUGGCUCCAUCGGGCACCGGGGCCUCGCAUGCUCCCCUCUACCUCCAGUUAGGUACAAAGGACACAACGUGCAGCGGGGGCUCUAUUAUAGAAAGCUCACGUAGUAUGUAAAAUAUAUACUCACACACCUACAUAUAAGUACAUAUGUAUGUUUUAUUAUCUCUCACCAUGUUAAUGCACUAAAAUGUACAUGUAUCCCUUUAUUAAUUGAUAACUUGGCCUUACCUGUAAGGCUGUGCUAUAAAUUUCACAGAUAUCACCUUGACAACAAACAUAAAGAAGGCCAAAAGGAGCUUAUCCAAGAAUUUGUACAUAGCACAGAGGGCCAGUGCCCAAAUCAGGGGUCUCAGAGCCAAUCAAGUUAUAACAACUCUCAAGGGGUAGAAUCCUUUUCUUGCCAUAUCAUAAAAAGGGCUAAGAACAGAGACCCUCUCGCACAGGCUGUGGGCUCCCUACUCUCCUCCCUCCUCCAACAAGGUAGCUGUCCAUCCCAUUUCUCUCCUCUUUCCAAUAAACUGAUUUCUAAACUUA